rnacentral:rRNA from 1 species
UAAGAUCUCAAGGAUCCCAACGGCUAGUCGACAUCGUUUACGGCGUGGACUACCAGGGUAUCUAAUCCUGUUUGCUCCCCACGCUUUCGCACCUCAGUGUCAGUAUCAGUCCAGGUGGUCGCCUUCGCCACUGGUGUUCCUUCCUAUAUCUACGCAUUUCACCGCUACACAGGAAAUUCCACCACCCUCUACCGUACUCUAGCUCAGUAGUUUUGGAUGCAGUUCCCAGGUUGAGCCCGGGGAUUUCACAUCCAACUUGCUGAACCACCUACGCGCGCUUUACGCCCAGUAAUUCCGAUUAACGCUUGCACCCUUCGUAUUACCGCGGCUGCUGGCACGAAGUUAGCCGGUGCUUAUUCUGUUGGUAACGUCAAAACAGCAAGGUAUUAACUUACUGCCCUUCCUCCCAACUUAAAGUGCUUUACAAUCCGAAGACCUUCUUCACACACGCGGCAUGGCUGGAUCAGGCUUUCGCCCAUUGUCCAAUAUUCCCCACUGCUGCCUCCCGUAGGAGUCUGGACCGUGUCUCAGUUCCAGUGUGACUGAUCAUCCUCUCAGACCAGUUACGGAUCGUCGCCUUGGUAGGCCUUUACCCCACCAACUAGCUAAUCCGACCUAGGCUCAUCUGAUAGCGUGAGGUCCGAAGAUCCCCCAUUUUCUCCCUCAGGACGUAUGCGGUAUUAGCGCCCGUUUCCGGACGUUAUCCCCCACUACCAGGCAGAUUCCUAGGCAUUACUCACCCGUCCGCCGCUGAAUCCAGGAGCAAGCUCCCUUCAUCCGCUCGACUUGCAUGUGUUAGGCCUGCCGCCAGCGUUCAAUCUGAGCCAGGAUCAAACCCU